rnacentral:misc_RNA from 1 species
UUAACUUAUUAUAUAUUACUCAGACGACAAUAUUCAGAGUUUGGGGGUCUCUGGCGGGCGCGAGCCAGCUUACGCCGGCAGCCGUGAGGCAGGCCCGCCAAAGCAACAAAGUGUGAUAAACAAAGGGUGGGAGAUCUACCCCGAAGGGCAAGUUCUCUUUAGUGAUCCUUCCGCAGGUUCACCUACGGAAA